GACGAACGCUGGCGGCGUGCCUAAUACAUGCAAGUCGAGCGGACGAAUCGAAAGCUUGCUUUUGAUUCGUUAGCGGCGGACGGGUGAGUAACACGUGGGCAACUGCCCUGUAGACGGGGAUAACACCGAGAAAUCGGUGCUAAUACCGGAUAACACGAAAUGUCGCAUGACGUUUCGUUGAAAGACGGCGCAAGCUGUCGCUACAGGAUGGGCCCGCGGCGCAUUAGCUAGUUGGUGAGGUAACGGCUCACCAGGGCGACGAUGCGUAGCCGACCUGAGAGGGUGAUCGGCCACACUGGGACUGAGACACGGCCCAGACUCCUACGGGAGGCAGCAGUAGGGAAUCUUCCGCAAUGGACGAAAGUCUGACGGAGCAACGCCGCGUGAGCGAAGAAGGCCUUCGGGUCGUAAAGCUCUGUUGUUAGGGAAGAACAAGUAACGCAGUAACUGGCGUUACCGUGACGGUACCUAACGAGAAAGCCACGGCUAACUACGUGCCAGCCGCCGCCGUAA
rnacentral:rRNA from 1 species